CCUUUCUCUAUCACCAGGUAAUUGGAAGCAGAAAAAAACCAGUCCCUGACCCCUGCUCUGCUUUAAGCUCCUUGUCACUGCUCAUAGCAGCCCUGUUCUGUUCUCCCCAACGCCGCCACCCAAAUCCUGUUCCCCUGGGAGAAGAAACCCUACCCCCACCCGCCCCUUUCAGCUCUGCCGCCAGGAGACUGGCUUGUCUUGGGGAAGUCACAGGUUUCAUUUUGUCACUUAGAAGCUGUUCCAGCCAGGAAGGGAGCCCAAGUUGACUUGAAGCCAGACCCUUAAUUGGAUUGGGUUCCUAGGGAGGCCAUUAGCUCUCUCUGCAGCUCUGGAGAGAGGAAGCACUUCCUCCCCCACCCGGCUGCACCCCUACUCAUUGCAGCUGAAUCCUGGAUGGCCUUCCACCCAAAUAAGGUCAGUGUUAUGUAUCCAGUCUCUUCCAUCAAGAGGACCGACUACUGACACAUCAGCAAAUCCAGGCCAGGACACUUGACUUCCAAGAUGUUGCUUGCAGCCAUCAGGACACCACAAGCAACCUGGAGAGAGGACGAGUAGGGGACAGAAAGUUCCUCAGGCCUCAUUGAACCACUGUAUCCAUCAGUCCCCGGACCUGAUAUCUCCUGGGACUGUUGUACAGGACGGGCACCCCACUGUAACCCCCAGCAGCUAACCGGGAUUGGUGGCUCUAAUAUCAAAAAGAAUUCCAGGACUAGCCAAUACGAGGUUCAGCUGAAGUUUAAUUAGAUGUUCCUAGCAUGAGGGUUAAAAGAGAAAGAGAGGCACUGAGAAGGAAGGGAGACCCACGGGAGAAGGUGAGAAUCUGAGUGUGGGCCUUUCAGGCAAGUGCAGGUCCAGGCUCCUCAUGGGGCAUCCCAGCCCCGUAGUGGUUUUGCAAUGGAUUUUGGAGGGGUUUGAAGUAACUACCUUCAAAGGGUUGCCAAGAAACCUAAGUGAGGUCACUGGGUGGUUCCUGAGGCGGCACCCGGCAGGGUUAAGAUGGAUGAAGCAGAAACCAAGCCACAAGGGUACAGGAAGGUAGGCUGUUUUUAACUGUAAACAGUUUAUAGUUUUGAGAGUCUCAGGAAAUAUCUGAGGAAAGGAAUAAUGCCCUUCCCAAGAUCAUAUGUGUUCAGACUCUGAACCUGGGUGGUUGUUAUUUGAACAUAAAGGACUAUUAUUUUUAUACUUGCAAAUUAACUCUAUCAGAACCUCUGGCGUCAGAGUUAUAGGCAGUUGGUGAGAUCUUUGACCUGAGUGCAAGGAACUGAACUCAGGUCCGCUGCAAGAGCAGUAAAUAUUCUUAACUCCUGAGCCAUCUUUCUAGCCCUUCUUGCUUGUAUUAGCUGUUUAGUUUGUUUGGUGGGUCUGGGUGCAUUUAUACCAUGACUCACAUGUAGAGAUUGGAAGACAAGUUGUGGGAGUUGGGACCAUGUGGGUCCCAGGAUCAAACUCGUUGUCAAUCAGUGAGUUUGGUAGUAAGCACCUUGCCCCUUUUAGCCAUCUCACCAGCCGUUCCAGUCUUGCUAUUAGUGACAUAACAGUUGAGCUGGGUGUUCAUAUCUCUACUUGCUAUGGUGGUUUGAAUGAAAAUGCCCCCAUUGCAGGGAAGUGGUGGCUCAUGCCUUUAAUUCCAACACUUGGGAGGCAGAGGCAGGCCAAGACAGCCCCCAAAGCUACAGAAAAAGAAACUCUGUCUUGAAAAACAAAAGAAAAAGAAAAGAAAAUGGCCCUCAUAGGCCCAUAGAGAGUGGCACUGUUAGAAAGUGUGGCUUUGUUGGAGGAAGUGUGUCACUGGGGGCCUGCUUUGAAGUUUCAAAUGCACAAGCCAGGCCCAGUGUUACUCUGUCUUCCUGCUGCCUGCUGAUCUAAAUGUGAACCUCUCCAGCUCUGUGUCUGCCUGCAUGCCUCCCACUAUGACAAUGAUGGACUGUAAGCCAGCUCCAAUGAAAUGUUUUCCUUUAUAAGAGUUGCUGUGGUCAUGGUGUCUCAUCACAGCAAUAGAAACACUAAGACACCUGCAUUUGGUGUAUUUGCUUUUUAUGUGUAUGGCUGUUUUGGCUAUAUGUGUAUCUGUGUACUGUGUGCAUGCCUGUGGCCUUCACAGACCAGAAGAAAUUGGAUCCCCUGGCCCUGGAGUUACAGAUGGCAGUGAGCUGCCAUGUGGGUUCUGAGAAUUGAACCUGGGACCUCUGGAAGAACAGCCAGUGCUCUUAACUGCUGAGCCAUCUCUCCAGCCCUUCCCCCUGAAUUUGUGAAGUGCUUGCUGCAUGCCAGGGCCUGUCCUGGGGCUUCAUGGGCACAUGUUUCCCAUGACUGCCUGUUCUGAGAGAUGUGACCUGUGACACCCUUUCUAUUGAAUUCUUGGGAGGAACUUAAAUUUUUCCAUCUCAGCUACUCACUGUGUGUGAACUAGAUAGUAAACUUCCCUGUUCCUUUUUUUGAAUCUGAAAACUGCACCUUGUUCUCUAGCACUAGUAAAAAUUAAAACAGAAUACUGGAAAGAUAACUCAGAGGUUAGGGGCACUGGCUGUUCUUCCAGAGGACCCAGGUUCAAUUCCCAGCACCCACAAGGCAGCUCAUAACCAUCCAUAACUCCAGAUCCUAGCAUCUGGUGCCCUCUUCUGACCCCUGUGGUCACCAGACAUACACAUGGUGAUGUAUACACAUGCUUACAAAGCACUCAUAUACAUAAAAUAAAAGAAAGAAAUCUUUAGAACAGAAUACUCUGAACCAGGGUUGGUGUUGCACGCCUGUGAGGAGGUAGGAGCAGGAGGAAAUGAGGUUCAAGGUCAUUAUCAGCUGCAUGGAGAGAGAGAGAGAGAGAGAGAGAGAGAGAGAGAGAGAGAGAGAGAGAGAGAAAGAGAGAGAGAGAGAGAGAAGAAAACCAAUUCUAUUUUACCAAUGAGCAGACUGAGUGUGGCAUCUGUGGUAUAGCCCAGGGUGGCACAGGCCGAGCUGUGUCAGCCCCAUAUUGUCCAGCUGAAAAGCCUGCUGAGGUGGCAAACAUGGCUAGAGGCUCUGUGCUAGCCUGCUUUGAGAAGCCUAGGAGAUGUGAUGGGCAGUGCCGGUUGGUGACCUCAUCAGUCACCUGGGCCACUUGCCCUGUUAAUCUUUAUAGAAGCCUUGACCUCAGCUAGGAGCCUAUCUUGUCAUUCCCACUCUCAAGUGACCAUUGUCAUCAGUUGGGGUGGAGCCUUCCCUCUAGGUAUCUUAUUCAUCAGUGAGGAGACAGGUACCUUCCCAGGCAAGAUGGCUGAUGUGUUUGGCCUUACAGAGACCCUGUCCUCCCUGGAGGCAUUCUGUGGCUCACACAUGGUCCUCUUCCCGGUAGUCUACAAGUGCCCUGAGGCUCCUAGCUGGAAGGGCCCAGGCCUGUGGCUCAGGGGCUCAGACAGACUCCAGGGAGCAUCCAGUCACCGUGCCCUUCCUGUAGGGCACCCAAGCCCCAAAGGAGUCAACCUCUGAACCAGGCCUUCCGGCCUCUUCCUGGCCUCUCUCUGCUAGACUAUGAAGAACAACAGGAUGUGAACCAUGAUGGCCACCAGACCUGCAAGCGACACAGGUGUCAAUAGUCUAUCUCAUGUGAGCUGAACUCAUGGCUCGGCUCCCUGAAUCCCAUAGCAGCCCCCCAGCUUUCACCUGAGGAUAGGGGAUCCUGUUUCAGAGAGGAUAGGCAAUCAGUACCAGAGGAUAUCUUGGUACACAGUGCACCCCAACUCCCAAAGAGGGAACAGGACCACAGAAAGUCCGAGGGUGACCUCUGGGAAUGGGUGCUCUGAGUCUCCAGGCACACUCCUCUUCUGUUUUUCUGGCAAGUUGGCCUGGCUGGCCUAGAACCUGCUAUGGAGACCAAGCUGGCUUCCUACUCUCAAUCCUUUUGUCUUACUAUCUCAAUUCUGGGAUUAUAAGAGUUUGACACCACGCUUGGCAAACAGGUAUGACGUUUUUGUUAAGCUCCCUAGCUCAUAUGUCUCAUUUAUAAAGAAGUAAGUCAGUUGCUCCCGAGUGCCCAGGAGGGCAUAUGCUAACAUCAGCAGGAACUGCAGGGUGUGGGCCUGUACUCCAGAUGUAGGAGACACUGGGGGUACAGACUGUCCUUAAAUUGGAAGCCAGCCUGGGCUUUAGGAGACUCUGUCCCAGAGAGAGAGAGAGAGAGAGAGAGAGAGAGAGAGAGAGAGAGGAAACGAAGAAAAGGAGGAAGAAAGGUCAGACAUUCUGCAGAUACCCACUUCCGGUCAAUCAUGUGCCAGGCAGAGCCAACUUCUGGGGACAAGCUGUAAACAAGAUUGACACUGUUUCUAAAGCAAAGAGCAGAGUUAGCUAGUGUCACCUACAGACACAUCUACAGCACAGGGAAACUGAGGUCCGAGGAAGCAUAAAUAGCUGAUCAAGUCUUACAGCUGGCAGCUAGCAAGUGCCAUCCAGGAGCAUUUUCUCUGUGUUGAGCACACUCUAGUUAUGGCAUCUUUUAUUAUUAUUAUUAUUAUUAUUAUUAUUAUUAUUAUUAUUUGAUUAUCUCCAAUUUCUGAGUGAGGAAGGUGCAGAGAAAGGUGAGAUAACUUUCUUGAAGUCCCAGCCAGGACCACACCAUUGCAACCAGGUUAUGCAAACAGUAGAGUAAGACUGAAACUCAGCUGUCACUAGCUGAGGACCCACAGUGGGUACCCUGCAAUCCACAGCAUCUUCAUAAAUCUCACACGAGAAGAAGGAGGUGACAGCUGGGUCCCCACUUCACAGGGGAAGGAGUUAUGCACCCAGGGUGAUGUAAUUUGCCCUGUCUCACCUUCAGGAGAUGGCCUUGCCUGUCACUCCAGACCUCUUAGUUCCCAGAGAGCUUCCCGGCCUUGUCAGAACCUGUACCACCCUCUUCCAUCACUUCCGUGGUGCUCCGGGAAGAGAAUAUGGAGGCCUGCAGCUCAGCCUGAGCACAUUGUACAUACUGAGCAGAGUUCCUUCACUAAACAAGAACUACAGAGAUACAGUCCUGGGCUAGCCUGGUCGCCUCCCACCAGCCAGACCCCUGCUCCUGUUCUCUCUGGCAAUCCACUACAGCCCAUGGGCGAUGACAGCAAGCUCCCUGCCAGGGUAAUCUCCAUAAUGAGGGGAGGGUUAAAGACACAAGAGACCAGAAGAAGGUUCUAGAGUUCCUCCUUCCAUCAGUCAGGAUGGUGAGAACACACAUUAGAGUCAAGGGCAUGAAUCCACCCAGACUUGGCCAUUAACUAUUGUGAUCUGAAGGGACUUUUCACCCCCGAGCUUCAGCUUCCUCCUCUCGAGUAUGAAGACAACAGGAAUGCCCACACCUCACUCAUAACACGGAGAAGCAAGGAAGUAAUGCCUCCCAUUUACAAUGCAAGGACUCUCAAGGCUAUAUUCAAGGUCAAGGACAGGUCUAUGACCUUCAGGACUUGGAAGCCCCAGGACUUGAACUCAGUUCUGCCCUUGGCAGCUGGAUCUGUGCAAGUCCAGUCCUUGGGCUCCGAGAAAGGGAAGUGGGAUCCUUAUGUGGAAGAGGCCUGUCACCACUGUGACACAGAUAUGGGUGUGCCGAUUUCAGAGUUGUGCCAACACCCAUCGAGGAAUCCUCCGUGUUGGGCAGCAAUUCAGUUCAUUUGAAUAGUUUCCUGAAUAGUCUCAACAAACCCUACCUUCCUUCUAUACAGCAACACCAUGAGGAACUCCAGGACAGAGACGGGCCUGCAACAAAUUGUUCUGCAGCUCAACGUGGCUCACACCGGCAAUCCCAGGGCUUGAAAGGCUGAGGCAAUUGAGGGGUUCAAGACCAGUUUGUGCUACAUAGUGAAUCUGAGAUCAUCCCUCACAAACAAACAACAGACAAACAAACGAAAGAUCCUGCCAGGCAUGGUUGCUGAGGAAACUGCCAGACUCUAUUUUGAAGGCAGGAACUAUUAUGCUGUAUUUUGAAAAAUAAAGUUCUAUUUAUUGUGAGAGCUGAGUUGCUCUCUGUUUCCCGGAAACUGACCUUCCCCAACCCAUGACCUUGGCUUGUUUGUGAGAAUACCCUUACCCUUCCUGACCCUCCCUAGUCACAUGGUGACCACAUGAUUUUUUGAAAAGAUUUUUGUAUUUCCUUAUUGUCCCAUUGUCUCCCUUCUGUAAAACUGGUAGUGAUUUUACUCCUUAAAGGGGGCCCAAGAGAUGGAUUCGGAGCUGUUCUCUUUAGACUUAGGAGGCAGUCACUGGCCAGCUCUUGGGUACACCCCAAUAAAAAAAAUCAAGCUUGCUUCA
ensembl:lncRNA